CACCGAAGUCAAGCAUCAUCGGGCGCGGUCAGUACUUGGGUGGGUGACCACCUGGGAACACAGCGUGCCGUU